GCUCCCCGGGAAGGAGUGGGUCUGGGUCCAGUCCGCAGGACCCCCUCGCGGAUGCUGACGCAGAAUGGAGUUGAGGUGGGGGCAGCGCUGGACCCUAGGGCCCCUGCCUGCCUCCUGGGGAGCCCGGUGACCCAGGCAGCCCUGGUGAGGCCGCAGGAGUCUGGGCCCUAGCGACGCCCCCGGGCUCCCACAGGACGAAUGUAGACGGUGAGGCCAAGGACGCCCUGCUGCCCUCGGGACUGUCCCUCCAGCCCCCAGCUUUCCGUGGUUAUUGGGCCCCCUCUGCAGAGGGGCAGGGGAGCCCACCCUGGAUCCUGAGGCGCCGAGCUUGAGGGACCCCAGAGCUCCAGCCAGGCCGCUUUCUUUGCGGAUGGUGAAGCUGAGGUCCCGAGGAGGGCAGGGGCAGGUCCCGGGCGCUCCUCAGGCAAAGGGAGCCGAUUUAGGGGCUGGGGUCACAGGAGGCGCUUCUGCGACCUCUAGGGCCCUAGAGCCCGGGAGGAUGAGAGACUGGGGGCCUUUCGUCCACCCCUGGGGCUGGGCAGACGCUCAGCCUGUGCAACCCGAAGCUGCUUCUGCCCAGUCCCAGCCGCGGCCCCUUUAAGAGGGGGUGGUGCUUCAGCCUGGCGCCAGGGACGCUGCCAGCAUGCAGGCCCCGACGGAAGCCGAGACUGCGCUUCGUGCGAGGCCCGGGCAGCAUCGGCGGCGUGGUCAGAGCGAGUCUCGGAGAAGAUGUGGUGGCUUCCGUUUGUUGGUGGAGGAGGUGGCAGGCCUCGGCGGGGUAACCCAGAGAACACAGCCGAAGUGGAAUGUGGGGACGUCUGCGACACCGGGGACAGAGCAACUGUGGAUGAAGAGGGCUACAUCUGGUUCCUGGGGAGGAGUCAUGACACUAUCAAUGCCUCUGGGGUGGUGAAGGCAUUGAUUGUCCUGACCCCACAGUUUCUGUCCCAUGACAAGGACCAGCUGACUAAGGAGCUGCAGCAGCAUGUAAAGUCAGUGACAGCCCCAUGGAAACCUCCUCGACACUCCGAAGUCCAGAUCGCAGGCCCCACCUGGAAUGCUCUCCUUGCAGCCUGUUCGAAGACUCAUGAGACCGUGCUGCACACUGGACUUCAACCAUGAGCUUCACCGUCUGUCUCUUCCUUCACUACCUUCGCUCUGCACUAGGCCAUAAGCUCUGUAGGAGAAGGAACUCAUCACAGUGCCUGCCCCAGACAGGUUGUUCAUAAGCACGUAUUGAAAUAUAGAAUUCCCAGGCACCUCCAACAGAGAGACUGGACCUUGUGAGACCCAACAAGAAGCCAGUAUUUCAGAACUGAUGAAAAAUAGCAAGGAUCUAGAUUAGGGGGUAUAGUGGGAAUGAAAUGGGGGACUGGGUGAUGCCCCAUAUUUGUCAACGACUCAUAGUCUUUCUCCAGAGAUGUCUUCCUCCCCUGUGUUCUUUGUCUCAUCAGCUGCCACCAGCACUCACUCCAGCCACUAAAGCCAGAAAGUUGAAAGACCUCUGCCCUCAUCCGGCCCAGCCCCCAUCCAGCCAAAGACCUGUCAUUUCAACCUCACGCCCACCCCGCUUUCCACUCCCACUGCUCCUGCCUUAGUUCAGACCACCACCGUCGCUCUCCUACCCAGUUCAAGCCAAGCUGACCUGGCCAGUGGCCUUCAGGCCUUCCCUUCUCCAUCCUGCCAUGUCCAUCCUCCACAGGCAGAACAGGAAGCUGUCAUGUAAAAGUGCAGGUCUGCUUUGGUCCUUCUCCUAAACCCUUCAGUGGCUUCCCGGUUCCCUUUGGGUCCUGGUACAGAUUCCUUAGCAUGGCCAGGGAGGACAGCCCUCCAUGAUCCUCCCCUCCCUGAGAUGUUCCUCCUGCCCCAGCACCCUGUGUUUGAGCCCAAGCCCGCCCUGUGGUGUCACGGGAGGCCCAGCUCCUCUGCCUGGGGUGCCUUGCCUGGCCUAGGAACUGGGAAAACUUACCUGCUUCCAAGACUCAGCUCUAGCACCUCUUCCUGCUGGGUGUUUUCCGAUGCCCCCCCUCUCGCCACCUCAUGGGGACCCCACAGUCCCCUGAAGAGCCUUCUGCCCCAGUGCCUCACCCCACUCUUUAGACCUGUUUCUGUUUCCAUGGCUGCCUUGCCUUCUUAGACCACGGGCUCCUGCAGAGCGGGACCCCAUAUCUCAGUCGGCUUUGCAUUCCCAGUGCCUGGCCGAAACUGAGGCUGGAAUGGUCUCCUAUUCCAUAAGCUCUCAAUAACCCUUGAAAAAUGACUGGAAUCCUGGACAGCGCCAAGGCAGCAACUGGGAUGGGAGAGUGAUCUGCUGCCCUCUCCUGGCAAUGUGAGGAAUUGUCCUAAGCACAGACAACUCCCUCCCUGCCUUGCACAAGUGCAGGAUGGGGGAAACUGGAAAAGGAGCUGAUGGAGGAUUGGGGAGGUGGAUGCUGUCUAAGGAGACAAACUGAAUUGAGGGGUUGCUGGGACUCGGCCGGCUCACAUGCUAUUCCCAUGUCAUGGGCCCAGGGGCCAAGUCAGUGCUUCCAAAGGAGGGUGCAUCCUGAGAGAGGCUCUGGCUCCCCCAACAAAACCCUAAACUCUUGAAGGACAUCUUCCUUCUCAGUAUACCCUAUUGCUGUGUUGUUGUAACUAUCACUGUAACUUUUAUUCACUUCAGUGGGCGAUCACUGAGUUUUUCCUCCAUUGUUGUAAAACAUGUGUUUUGCUCUUGUGUGUAAAAUGACU
rnacentral:lncRNA from 1 species